CACACCAACAAAGUAUUCCCUAGUCCCUUCGCCAAAGCAGCUGCCACACCAACACCCACCGUUUCCCCAGCUCCCAAGACCAGCACCUCUCUUCUUCGUCCCCACACACGCCCGGCCACCACACAUUUUCCUUUCCCAGCCGGCCACAAUACAGCCCCUCAGCCACGACCUCAUCCUCCCUGCACGCAACCUCUCAGCCAAGACAGCCUCCAUUCUCCUUCCCUUUCGCUGCACCUCCAUCUGCCCCGCAGCAGCUCCCUCUCACAGAACCCAAGUCGGCCGUCCCCCACUGACUUCAGCUUCUUCUUCUACAUCGUCGACCACAACAGAUCUUCCCUCAUCGGCACAGAUCGGCCUCCAUCGAUCUCCUUCACCGUUACCUGCAGAAAAACAGACCCGAGGACAGAUCCGGAAGGGGAAAAGAAAAUUAAAAUCGACUGCUUGUUGUGUUUCUUCUUUUGCAGGUAACGGUGGCUGUCACCGCCGGCGAGAAAAGUGAAGAGGGGAGGACCGUGACGGCCGCGUGUUUAGAGGACGCGCCGCCAUUGUUCUGCAAUCACAGAGGGUGCUCAGAAUUUUCCAGCACUGUUCCCGAGGCUUUAUGUAAUUUUCAGACGUGAAUGUAUAUUUAGAUUACUACUGUUGUUUGAUCUGAUUUGAACUUUUGAUAUUUUGUAACGUGAAACAUGGUUGUAUGUGUAAAAUAUAAUAAAAGUGAAUGUGUUUUUUUUUUUUAAUUUUUAUAAUAAAGCUGCCAAGAUAAAAUAAAAUUUAAUAUUUUGAUUUCCUAAUAAAUCCUGAGUUUUAGUUUUGGGAAUUAAUAAAUCCUGUUAUCCCGUUAACCUGAAGUGUCACAUUUGCUCUGUUCUUCUCUUCUUCCCCAAGUUUAUUAUUUGCAUCUCUUGUCGUCCAACUGGAUUGGGACACUCCAUAUUGAGGUCGUACCACUUAGCUAUCCUGUUUCUGGAUUCCUCUGCUCUUGAUCAAAGUAGAAGCAAGUGCAUAGUAAGAUGCACCGAUGAGUUUGUAGAAGUCCAAGCUCUCCUGUU
rnacentral:lncRNA from 1 species